AGCACUCAAUCUCUUCUCCACUCCCCUAUAAACUACUUUUCCAGGGUACACUGUGCUGGUUAAAUGUUAACACAGCAACAGGAGGCCUUGUUAGUUUUCAUCCCACCUCCAUCUUCCUUGUAGAUUUUUCAAAAAAAAGUUUGUAGGGCCUAGCAGCCAAAGACCAUCUCACAAGGGAGCAGGGCAGCCCCAAACAGCAGACACCUUCCUGGACAGGGGUGUGGGCGAGGCCUUGACAGGACUUGGGCCUACAGGUGGGGGUCAGGAGCAGACGAGAAUGUGAGAAAGAUAACAAUUUCCACUCAGCAUAGGUUGAUUGCAGACGAGGUUCGUAAACCAGCUGACCACCUGGUCAAGGUGAUGGGCCUUGAUCUCUCCUUUGUGGAUGGAUAGGAAGAAGAAACAAUGGUGCUUUAAGCCAUUUAGCCUCACUGAUUCAGGAGAGAGGGGGCAACAAGAAGAAAAUGUUGAUUUUCUGCCUAGAACAAUAAAUAGUCAGCUCUCCCUGUCAGCUGUAUUAGUUGCUUUAAUGCAAGUACCUGUUCCAUCAGAUGACCUUGCUUCACUAAUGCCUGUGGUCUGCAACAAGCUACAGUAUUAAAGCUGUAAACCUGGCCAAGUCUGAGUGUAUGUCAGAUUUACACAGCCUUGUCAAAACCAUAAAGUUAACAGGCUGGAGAAGAAGAAAUCUUCAUACCUGCAUAAUCUUGCUAUGUGGAGAUCUGACAGAGUAGAAAACAAUACUUACAUUAACAGACAUUAUUUUUGCUGAGACUGUCUCUUUAAUAAUUAAUUCCAGCUGAUAGAAGAAGGCAUUCCAAGCCUGGAACCAUCUUUCUUGUA